rnacentral:rRNA from 1 species
UGGGGAAUUUUGGACAAUGGGGGAAACCCUGAUCCAGCCAUCCCGCGUGUGCGAUGAAGGCCUUCGGGUUGUAAAGCACUUUUGUCAGGAAAGAAACGUCAUGGGUUAAUACCCCGUGAAACUGACGGUACCUGCAGAAUAAGCACCGGCUAACUACGUGCCAGCAGCCGCGGUAAUACGUAGGGUGCAAGCGUUAAUCGGAAUUACUGGGCGUAAAGCGUGCGCAGGCGGUUCGGAAAGAAAGAUGUGAAAUCCCAGAGCUAAACUUUGGAACUGCAUUUUUAACUACAGGGAUAGAGUGUGUCAGAGGGAGGUGGAAUUCCGCGUGUAGCAGUGAAAUGCAUAGAUAUGCGGAGGAACACCGAUGGCGAAGGCAGCCUCCUGGGAUAACACUGACGCUCAUGCACGAAAGCGUGGGGAGCAAACAGG